rnacentral:ncRNA from 2 species
GUAUUUGCCUUAGGAACAGAUGCCGUUAACGGCUUAAUAGGGAAUCCGGUGAGAAUCCGGUACUGCCCCCGCAACUGUAAAUGCUGACGAAAUGAGCAGACCACUGUAUAAGUAAGUUUAUGAUAAUAAGCGCUUAUAUGGGAAGGGCUCAAAAGUAGAGUGACGCAUAAGUCAGGAGACCUGUCUUUCUUAAGUUGUUUCA